AUAAUUUCUCAUCUCCCCAACUAAAACCGGGGACGACUAAAAAUAAAAUAAAAAUCUAAAAAAAUUAAAAAAAAAUGAGAGCCUCAACAAGAGUCAUAUGGACAGUAUCUGUCCUUAUGCUAGCGGCUGUGUCGGAUGCCAUUUUCCCUCUACCAUUUCUUCCCUUCCUCCCUGGCUUCAACAACGGCAUUCACGACAACGAUGCUCUGAAGGUUGCUAAACCAGUGGCUACCGGUGGAAAAGCUGGAGGAAAAAGAAGAUCAGGCGGUGCUCCCGAAGCUCAGACAAACUGGCCUGGAAAGUGGGAGUUGUUCUUGGAAAACUCAGGUGUGUCAGCCAUGCAUGCAGGCCUGAUGCCACUCAUCAACCAGGUCCAAUUUUAUGACGCAACCAUCUGGAGAAUCUCAAAGAUUAAGCUUCCUCCGGGUGUUCCAUGCCACGUCGUCAAUGCCAAGACCAACAAGAUCGAUUGUUGGGCUCAUUCGGUUCUCAUUGAUGUCAACAACGGUGCCAUUAAGCCUCUAUCCGUAUGUAUCAUAUCCCCAUUCACAUACAUAAUAUUUAGUAUAAUUUGGACUUUUAUUGAACAUCUUUAUUAUUCACAUACUUUUAAUGAUAGCUUGCCACUGAUACAUGGUGCUCGUCUGGAGGUCUGACCGUCAACGGAACAAUGGUGAGCACUGGAGGAUAUGGAGGAGGAGCCAACACGGCGAGGUACCUAGCGGCUUGUCCAAACUGCCAAUGGCAUGAAUACCCUCAGGCUUUGGCUGCGAAGAGAUGGUACUCAACGCAAGCAACUCUCCCUGACGGAAAGUUUUUCAUUAUUGGAGGACGUGACGCCAUGAACUACGAGUACAUCCCAGAGGAAGGACAAAACAACAAGAAGAUCUACGACUCAUUGCUCCUUAAGCAAACAGACGACCCGGAAGAGAACAACCUCUACCCCUUCGUAUGGCUUAACACCGACGGUAACCUCUUCAUCUUCGCAAACAACAGAUCCAUCCUUCUUAGCCCCAAAACGAACCAAGUCAUCAAAGAGUUCCCUCAGCUCCCAGGUGGUUCCCGUAACUACCCUGGAUCAGGCUCC
rnacentral:lncRNA from 1 species